rnacentral:rRNA from 1 species
UACGGAAGGCAGCAGUGGGGAAUAUUGGACAAUGGGCGAAAGCCUGAUCCAGCCAUGCCGCAUGAGUGAAGAAGGCCUUCGGGUUGUAAAGCUCUUUUAGUGAGAAAGAUAAUGACGGUACUCACAGAAGAAGUCCUGGCUAACUCCGUGCCAGCAGCCGCGGUAAUACGGAGAGGGCUAGCGUUAUUCGGAAUUAUUGGGCGUAAAGAGCGCGUAGGCUGAUUAGUAGUUAAAAGUGAAAUCCCAAAGCUUAACUUUGGAAUUGCUUUUUAAAACUGCUAGUCUAGAGAUUUGAAAGAGGAUAGAGGAAUUCCUAGUGUAGAGGUGAAAUUCGUAAAUAUUAGGAGGAACACCAGUGGCGAAGGCGUCUAUCUGGUUCAAAUCUGACGCUGAGGCGCGAAGGCGUGGGGAGCAAACAGGGAUUAGAUACCCGU